UACGUAGGGGGCGAGCGUUGUCCGAAGUUACUGGGCGUAAAGCGCGCGUAGGCGGUUUCUUAAGUCUGGGGUGAAAGGUUCAGCGCUCAACGCGAACAGUGCCUUGGAUACUGGGAGACUUGAGUCUGGGAGGGGGCAGUGGAAUUCCUGGUGUAGCGGUGAAAUGCGUAGGUAUCAGGAGGAACACCGGUGGCGAAGGCGGCUGCCUGGCCUAAGACUGACGCUGAGGUGCGAAAGCGUGGGGAGCGAACGGG
rnacentral:rRNA from 1 species